CAGUGUGCCGGGUCAGAUCCAACUGGGUUCAUAUGGACUUCCGUCUUCAGACAUCUUAGUCUGUUUAUAUGGCUGAUUCCGUUUCUCUGUUUGCCUAUGUUGACCCAUCCCUGCAUCUUGGUUACAAAGCCUACUCUAUUAUUGUGGAAGAUCCUUUUGAUGUGAUCCUGGAUUUGGUUUCUGACAGCUGGCGUGAGAGUUUCUCUAGGAUUUAUAUCUAAUGGUGGAUUCCUGCCAGUGACAUAUCUGGCCAUCUUCACCCUCCUCAGAUUUGGACAUGGUGCUCUACGAAUCUGCAUUCUUUACUCCACAAGAGGAAGGGCCUUUCUCCUGUGCACUCGCUAGUCUUUGUGGUCAUCAGUUUCCUUCCUUCCAGAGAAUUGUUUUUUGUUUUUUUUUUUUUUAAUUGGUUUUUGCUUCCAUUAGAGGGAAAGGUUACAGUUUCUAAAGGGCCUUUUUACAAAAAUACAGGGACAUAUGUGUACACAGGUACAGAUAAAAGUGUAAAAUGUGCACAGUUAGAGAAAGGGACUUUUUAAGGCCAAACACUCACUAUCCAAUAAAGACAAAUUAAUAUUAACCAAAAAGGGGGCAGGGGCAUGGAGCCAAUGAGAGACUAUAGUAGGUAAAGGGGUUGUUGCAUAACCCUGACAAUCUAAAUCUGAUCCCCGAGUGCAAUCCUGUAACCCCAUUGUGAAAAAAACAGAACUAAUUUAAUCAACCUGAGUUGAUUCAGAGUAGAAAUACAAACACCAAUGCCAACAUAAGAACCUGAUUGAAGAGAACUCUUAAAAAUUGUGACAGAGAUCCUGAAGUGUAGCUCUUCACGGUUGAUGGCUACUAGUGGGGUGGGGAAGGACACAGUCCUCUAAGGGGCUGUCCACUGGGAGUUUGACCAUGCUCCAGUGAGUAUACGGGCAACACAAAUUAAACUUGUUUUCUUCUUACUCCUCCUCCUCCUCCUCCUCCUCCUCCUCCUCCUCCUCGUCUACCUCCUCCUCCUCAUCUACCUCCUCCUCCUUCUGACAGGAAGGUCACAAGGGUGGAGGUGAACCUGGGAAGUGAAUGUGAUUGGGGUGCAUUCUGGGAAACUCUCAAGUAACUAAUUAUGCCGUAAAAAAAAAAAAAAGGCUUUUCAUCUUUAGCUUUCAGUGGUUAAGAGCCUUGAAGUGUCUGCUCUUCCAGAGAUCCUGAGUUCAAUUCCCAGAACCUACAUGGUGGCUCACAGCCAUCUGUAAGGGGGUCUGAUGCCCUAGUUUGCUUUUUAUAUUCUAAAAUCACUUAAUUAGAUAGGCAUAUAGAAGCUUAGCAUUACACUUUUCUGAUGAAUUGAAUUAAUCUGAUAACCCUUUGCAGGGGCCUAGAACCAUGCUAACACUUUUUAAAGGAGAUCUCACACUUUCGUCCUUAUUUUCCACGUGCACAAGCUAGACUCAGGCCCUUAGGUUGGUACUGGUGGUCAUUGAAAUUUAAAAAAAAAAUAUUGCCAGUAUAAUCCAAGUAAAAGUGGAGAUCUUUAUUAUUUUAAUUUACAUGUUCCUUUUUAGUAUAGAAGACUCAUGAAAUAUAAGCGCAUGUGCGUGCGCGCAUACACACACACACACAUACAAACACACACACACACAUACAAACACACACACAACUAUAAAGGAUCAAUACCCAGGAUUCCAAGAAUAGAGACAUAUGUACAAAAAAUAGGUACCAAACAAUGACAAGACCCAGACCAAAGGUACACCUAUAUCCAGUGCAAGAUCAAUAUCUGUAAUUGCUAAAACAGGACAGCACUAUCGGAAAAUGGACAAGUGUUAGAAACAGGCGAUUCACAAAGUCACAUACACCUGGAGAUCAGUGCACGUUCCCUAGUUAUUAAACGAGUAGGAGGGCUGCAGAAGGUCUUUGCAGUUGUCAUGUCUUACCUGCCUUCCCUAGGCCACUCUCCUUGAGAAGAAUAUUUGAAUUUGGGAGGUUUGCCCGGGAGAAUUUCACAGGGAAUGAGAAAAGCAAGACCAGGCAGAAUGAAGAUAACCCUGGGGUGCUGGAGGUGGGGGUCUCAUCAACCAAGACAAGACACUCUUGCAACUACAACUUACUGAUCUAAGUUUCCCUAAGGAAAGGAAGUAGCCUUGGCAGGGCAGACCUGUUUGGCUGGGAGGACUGGGCCAAGGAAACAGCUGUGAGCCAUCAGUAGCCUAACUCCUGGCAACUGUGGACACAGCAGGUGCUGGGUGGGACACUUGAAGCAUCUACUAUGUGCAACUCUGAGAUCCAGUGAGUUGACCAAAACACUGUGAUUAGGAACACUGGCGUUGACACCCAGGAGCCUCAGAUUUAACAAUUCCACCGUGUAUCUGACAGCUGGGUUAACUGUCAUGAGUUCUUCCAACAAGCAUUUGCUGAGUUGCCCCAGGGAUACCUAUGUGGAGACGCUCGUGGGGAUGGAGUGAAGGAAUACACACAGAGUUACCGUUCGGUGACUACCAUUUCUUAUUAGUAAUUAUUGCCAGGAGCAUCCAGGACUUUACUUUUUUUUUUUCUCUCAGUGUAAUCCUACAAGAAACUCCCUUGAGAUGUAACUCUGUGGACGCCUCAGAUCAGCAGAACACUCAUGAGUUUAGAGGACUUCAGAGAAGCCUCAUUUUCUCAUCUCAGCUAGAACAUGCCAUAGCUGUUGAGUGAACUGUUCCCCGGACUCAUCGUCAGCCUUUUCCAGCCUAGAAGCCUCAUUUUCUCAUCUCAGCUAGAACAUGCCAUAGCUGUUGAGUGAACUGUUCUCCGGACUCAUCGUCAGCCUUUUCCAGCCUUCCCUACCUCACAGCCAACGGUUAUCUUUUCCUCCUAUCUCCUUGUGACUUAAUUUCUGCAGGUUUCAAGGCUCAGGCAAGACAAAGAACACUAGUGCUCGACCAGGUGACAGUGGUUAGCAGCCUUUGAUACUAGAAAAUCUCCCCUCUCCCCCUGAAUUUACCAGAAUAAAAAAAUUUUA